rnacentral:rRNA from 1 species
AGUGAACGCUGGCGGUAGGCCUAACACAUGCAAGUCGAACGGCAGCACAGUAAGAGCUUGCUCUUACGGGUGGCGAGUGGCGGACGUGUGAGGAAUACAUCGGAAUCUACUUUUUCGUGGGGGAUAACGUAGGGAAACUUACGCUAAUACCGCAUACGACCUACGGGUUAAAGCAGGGGAUCUUCGGACCUUGCGCGUUUGAAUGAGCCGAUGUCGGAUUAGCUAGUUGGCGGGGUAAAGGCCCACCCAGGCGACGAUCCGUAGCUGGUCUGAGAGGAUGAUCAGCCACACUGGAACUGAGACACGGUCCAGACUCCUACGGGAGGCAGCAGUGGGGAAUAUUGGACAAUGGGCGCAAGCCUGAUCCAGCCAUACCGCGUGGGUGAAGAAGGCCUUCGGGUUGUAAAGCCCUUUUGUUGGGAAAGAAAAGCAGCAGGUUAAUACCCCGCUGUUAUGACGGUACCCAAAGAAUAAGCACCGGCUAACUUCGUG